rnacentral:rRNA from 1 species
GACGAACGCUGGCGGCGUGCUUAACACAUGCAAGUCGAACGGAAAGACCCUGCUUUUGUGGGGUGCUCGAGUGGCGAACGGGUGAGUAACACGUGAGUAACCUGCCCUUGACUUUGGGAUAACUUCAGGAAACUGGGGCUAAUACCGGAUAGGAGCUCCUGCUGCAUGGUGGGGGGUUGGAAAGUUUCGGCGGUUGGGGAUGGACUCGCGGCUUAUCAGCUUGUUGGUGGGGUAGUGGCUUACCAAGGCUUUGACGGGUAGCCGGCCUGAGAGGGUGACCGGCCACAUUGGGACUGAGAUACGGCCCAGACUCCUACGGGAGGCAGCAGUGGGGAAUAUUGCACAAUGGGCGGAAGCCUGAUGCAGCAACGCCGCGUGCGGGAUGACGGCCUUCGGGUUGUAAACCGCUUUCGCCUGUGACGAAGCGUGAGUGACGGUAAUGGGUAAAGAAGCACCGGCUAACUACGUG